rnacentral:rRNA from 1 species
AACGAACGCUGGCGGCAGGCCUAACACAUGCAAGUCGAGCGGACCUUUCGGGGUCAGCGGCGGACGGGUGAGUAACGCGUGGGAAUAUGCCCUUCUCUACGGAAUAGUCCUGGGAAACUGGGGGUAAUACCGUAUACGCCCUUUGGGGGAAAGAUUUAUCGGGGAAGGAUUAGCCCGCGUUGGAUUAGGUAGUUGGUGGGGUAAUGGCCUACCAAGCCGACGAUCCAUAGCUGGUUUGAGAGGAUGAUCAGCCACACUGGGACUGAGACACGGCCCAGACUCCUACGGGAGGCAGCAGUGGGGAAUCUUAGACAAUGGGGGCAACCCUGAUCUAGCCAUGCCGCGUGAGUGAUGAAGGCCUUAGGGUUGUAAAGCUCUUUCAGCUGGGAAGAUAAUGACGGUACCAGCAGAAGAAGCCCCGGCUAUCUCCGUG